rnacentral:ncRNA from 2 species
UUAAUUUGUAACGGUAAUGGUAUGGCAACCAGGGUUCAAUUGUUGCCUUUAAAAGGGAAUCCCGUGUAAAUCCGGAACUAUCCCCGUAGCUGUGAGGCCCUUUAGCCAGAAGUUUUAUAAAAUAGCCACUGUUCGAUCUGUGAAUGGGAAGGUUUAUAAAAACGGGCCAAGUCAGAAGACCUGCCAGUACCAUUUUUUGAAA